UGCAGCUGAGGUUUGUCACUGUUACCCGUUGGCUCUCUGUCAGGAAUGCUCAUCUUUUAUGGAUCCGGAGCCCACAGCUUUUAGUGACGCAGUUUGAGCAUACACAAUAAAGCUGUGCUAACCCUAAGAAAUCAAUCGCCCAGAAGUAGCUCCUGGUUGGCAAACAGCAUGGAGACAAUUGUUGCCAACACCCAGCCACCUGACUCUGGGAUGUCUCAUCGUUGACUGAUGUCAUUAGGAACCGUAUUGUUCUUAUCGACCAGGGGUUAAGGAGCUACGGGAGGACACAGCGUGUAAAACCGCUUGCGGGAUGUAAAUAAGAUGGAUGGGGGGCCAGAGCAGCACACUCACCUCGAAAGCUGGUGACUGUGUAGAAAGGCCGCAGUCAGAGCAUACAGCACCCAGCCGUGAGCUCUAAAGAAUUCCUGAAUGACCAGGCCAGUCUACAGACACGGUGUAAGGAGUAAAUGCUAACAGUUACCACACAGCUGCUUGUGCAAACUAUAGACGAUAGAGUCUGGAGUUCGGCAGACCAGCCAAAACGCCACGGUUGCCUCCUGAUGACCUACAUCUGCUCUCUGCCUGGAGCCAAUAAUGCAAGCAGUAUUUUCAUCACGAAGCAUCUAGAGAGAAAAGAUUUCACAACUUCCUAG
rnacentral:lncRNA from 1 species